AAAAAACUCGUUCCAAGUCGAGCAAUUAUUUAAGAAGCCAAUAACCUAUUACUUCUAGUUCUCAGACCAUUAUCCUUCCUUCAUCUUUAGCAGUUUCUGCUCGUAGAAUGUUAAUACUAGCUGGGACAGAACAUUAGCCAAUCCCCUUCAGCAACAAUCAAUCAACCAUGCCACUUAACUGCCGCUUUUUUCUUUUCUUUUUUUUUUC
rnacentral:misc_RNA from 1 species